rnacentral:rRNA from 1 species
GACGAACGCUGGCGGCGUGCUUAACACAUGCAAGUCGAACGGAAAGGCCUCUUUCGGGGGGUACUCGAGUGGCGAACGGGUGAGUAACACGUGAGUAACCUGCCCUUGACUUUGGGAUAACUUCAGGAAACUGGGGCUAAUACCGGAUAGGAGCUCCUGCUGCAGGGUGGGGGUUGGAAAGUUUCGGCGGUUGGGGAUGGACGUGCGGCUUAUCAGCUUGUUGGUGGGGUAGUGGCUUACCAAGGCUUUGACGGGUAGCCGGCCUGAGAGGGUGACCGGCCACAUUGGGACUGAGAUAAGGCCCAGACUCCUACGGGAGGAAGCAGUGGGGAAUAUUGCACAAUGGGUGGAAGCCUGAUGCAGCAACGCCGUGUGCGGGAGGACGGCCUUCGGGUUGUAAACCGCUUUCGCUCAUGACGAAGCUUUGUGUGACGGUAGUGGGUAAAGAAGCACCGGCUAACUACGUG